GCAUGUGUGGUUUUCUUAUAUAAUUCCUAGUUACAAAGCAGAGCUCCAGGCUAGAAGCCAAAUCACACAGGGUAUGAGAGCUUCAGAAAUAACCACCAUUCAGGUUUGUUUACUGCAAGGAGCUCUCGAAGGAAACCAUCAAAUUUAGGAAAACAGAGUUGAGAUGCUGGAGUGGAGCACAGAGAAGCAACAGGAAGAUGAGAUUUUCACUACUGCAAUGUCUUCUACAGGUUUUCCUCUGCUUCUGUACCUGCAGGGAGAAAAUCUCUUGGCAAGCACCUGGUUAUGGACUUUGUGUCCAUUUGGACCAUACUGCUUCCUGCUGGAAAUGAGCAACUGACUUCUCUGGAAACUUUCUACAAUUUGCUCAGGUUUAUAAUUUUCAAGGAGAGAGAAGAUUCUGAAGAUGUGAAAUAACUAUUUGUGGGUCUCUAAGUUUACUGUGAGUCUCUGAUUUUCUUUCAUAAUAUACCAGUGGUGUAUCAUGCUG